AUUGAACGCUGGCGGCAUGCCUUACACAUGCAAGUCGAACGGUAACGCGGGGCAACCUGGCGACGAGUGGCGAACGGGUGAGUAAUGCAUCGGAACGUGCCCAGUAGUGGGGGAUAGCCCGGCGAAAGCCGGAUUAAUACCGCAUACGACCUACGGGUGAAAGGGGGGGGAUCGCAAGACCUCUCGCUAUUGGAGCGGCCGAUGUCAGAUUAGGGAGUUGGUGGGGUAAAGGCCCACCAAGCCUUCGAUCUGUAGCUGGUCUGAGAGGACGACCAGCGAGACUGGGACUUGGACACGGCCCAGACUCCUACGGGAGGCAGCAGUGGGGAAUUUUGGACAAUGGGCGCAAGCCUGAUCCAGCCAUGCCGCGUGCGGGAAGAAGGCCUUCGGGUUGUAAACCGCUUUUGUCAGGGAAGAAACGCUCUGGGCUAAUACCUCGGGGUAAUGACGGUACCUGAAGAAUAAGCACCGGCUAACUACGUGCCAGCCGCCGCGGUAA
rnacentral:rRNA from 1 species